AGAGUUUGAUCCUGGCUCAGGAUGAACGCUAGCUACAGGCUUAACACAUGCAAGUCGAGGGGCAGCAUUUCAGUUUGCUUGCAAACUGGAGAUGGCGACCGGCGCACGGGUGAGUAACACGUAUCCAACCUGCCGAUAACUCGGGGAUAGCCUUUCGAAAGAAAGAUUAAUACCCGAUGGUAUAAUCAGACCGCAUGGUCUUGUUAUUAAAGAAUUUCGGUUAUCGAUGGGGAUGCGUUCCAUUAGGCAGUUGGCGAGGUAACGGCUCACCAAACCUUCGAUGGAUAGGGGUUCUGAGAGGAAGGUCCCCCACAUUGGAACUGAGACACGGUCCAAACUCCUACGAGAGGCAGCA
rnacentral:rRNA from 1 species